UACGUAGGGUGCGAGCGUUGUCCGGAAUUAUUGGGCGUAAAGAGCUCGUAGGCGGUCUGUCGCGUCUGCUGUGAAAACCCGAGGCUCAACCUCGGGCCUGCAGUGGGUACGGGCAGACUAGAGUGCGGUAGGGGAGACUGGAAUUCCUGGUGUAGCGGUGAAAUGCGCAGAUAUCAGGAGGAACACCGGUGGCGAAGGCGGGUCUCUGGGCAGUAACUGACGCUGAGGAGCGAAAGCGUGGGGAGCGAACAGG
rnacentral:rRNA from 1 species